rnacentral:tRNA from 1 species
UCCCUUUUGGCUCAGAGGUUAAAGCGUCUGCCUGCAAUGUGGGAGACCUGGGUUCAAUCCCUGGAUCGGGAA